rnacentral:rRNA from 1 species
CAGCAGCCGCGGUAAUACCGGCGGCCCGAGUGGCGGUCACUAUUAUUGGGCUUAAAACGUCCGUAGCCGGGUUGGGAAGUCCUCCGGGAAAUCUGGCCGCUUAAAGGUCAGAAUGCCGGAGGAUACUCCCAGCCUAGGGAGCGGGAGAGGCCGAGGGUAUUCCCGGGGUAGGGGGGAAAUCCUAUAAUCCCGGGAGGACCACCUGUGGCGAAGGCGCUCGGCUGGAACGCGUCCGACGGUGAGGGACGAAGGCCAGGGGAGCAAACCGGAUUAGAUACCCGGGUAGUCCUGGCUGUAAACGAUGCGGACUUUGUGUCGGACAAGCUAUGAGCUUGUCCGGUGCCGGAGGGAAACCGUUAAGUCCGCCGCCUGGGGAGUACGGCCGCAAGGCUGAAACUUAAAGGAAUUGGCGGG